AGAAUGAAAGCAAACGAAACAGAGAAGAAACAGGGGAGAAAGAAAGAAAGAAAAAGAAAAAGGAAAAUUUGGGUUUCAAGGCUCAAAGUUUAAUUUGGUUUAGUAAAGAUAGAACGUUGAAUCAGCAUCCUAGUUCGAUCCCGAAUUCAUUAAGGUAAAGUGUGUUAAUUAUUGGUAAUGGCAUGUACCUAGGACGUUUUAUGAGAGUCAUUUAGGUUGUAGAUAUACUCAUGAAAUGAGUAAAUUAUGGUUGGCAACGGUAUGUAGUAUGAAUUUGAAAUUUACUAAAAAUUUGUAGUGAUUCUAAA